CAGAAAAAAGACCCAGAAUUAGUCACUGGCAUCCUAGAGCAAGCUCAUGCUGGCUUUAGAUGGCUGACUUGGAGACAUUCGGCAGUUUUGUGAGCUGGUUUACUCGCACUUGACUGGCUGGAGCCCUUAAAUUGUUCCUGAAGGAUGAGGAUGUGCAAUACUAUAGCAACCCCCCACAGCCUUGGAAGCAGACAAACCUAGUUCGUGUUGACAAUAAGACAGAAGAGGAUGGACCCAUGAAUACUUUUGCAACUAACUCUGCUUCCAGCUGCCCCGAGAGAAUGCUGAGGUUUGCAAGGUGUCAAG